rnacentral:rRNA from 1 species
GACGAACGCUGGCGGCGCGCCUUACGCAUGCAAGUCGAACGGAGUACUCCUUCGGGGGUGCUCAGUGGCAGACGGGUGAGUAACACGUAGGUAACCUGCCCGAGAGUGGGGAAUAACUCUCCGAAAGGAGAGCUAAUACCGCAUACGAUUGCCUCUUAACUUGAGGUAAUGAAAGCAGCAAUGCGCUCUCGGAGGGGCCUGCGGUCCAUCAGCUAGUUGGCGGGGAACGGCCCACCAAGGCUACACGGAUAGCUGGUCUGAGAGGACGACCAGCCACAAGGGGACUGAGACACGGCCCCUACUCCUACGGGAGGGCANCAGCGAGGAAUCUUGGGCAAUGGGCGAAAGACCUGACCCAGCGACGCCGCGUGGAGGAUGAAGGCCG